rnacentral:lncRNA from 1 species
AAAUCAAACUCUCCAGUACAAGUAUGAUAGGACACAUGGGACACAAUUUAUCGCCAAGAGGCACAAAACAUCACAUGUGAGGAAAACACAAAGCAAGCAAAAGGUACUAUCCCAUGGCACUCAUGGUAUAAUACUAAACAACCAAAGGGAAGGAAAGACAAAUAAAAACAGUGCCAAGUCACCGUUUCACCAGCUCCAAUUAUAAAAUAGGUACCAAACUAGUAAAUAGCACCUUCUCACGUAUGUGUUACAUAAGACCAAUGAGAAUAGUUUCUUUCAGGCCUCAGUAAGCUGUUCCACUUACUGACCGGUGGCUUCCUUAAAGGGAAGCAGCCCUCAGUCAAGGAAAGCACCAGGAGUCAGGUUUUGCGACUAAGUCAAAGGGAACACUUGAGCAACUCACUUUAUCUUUCCCAGCCAGUUUUCUCACCUGUAAAUGGGAGAUAACCAUGCCCCACUUGCCUCAUUAUAAUGAUAAAGCUUAAAGAGAUCAGGUAUGUGAAAGGCCUUUGUAAUCUAUAAAGCAUUAGGCAAAUAUCGAAGUGUUUAUCUCCUAAUCUUACCUGUGAAUUUACAAAUUCUCUAAGGAGGAAAAUCAACUUCAUUAAAGAUUGGUUUCUUUUCUCUCCCAUAUUCCCAACCCCUCUUUAAACCCACUCUCAGCAUCAACAGCAGACCGGCAAUUGCGCUUUUGAUCUAAAGGAAAGAUGAAAGCCUGGAUCCUGCAAUACACUGAGAUUAUAGAAAACUGCAAAGCAAACCAAAUCCAGGUUGCUCUAACUUAAAUUCCGCAAUGCUAGUCAGGCAGAUUGCUCCAACCUGAGAGCUGUGAGUUCAGGUGGGGAGGUUCACAUUCACUGUGAUUAACUAGCUAGCUCCUUUCUCUGUCACAAUUACCUGGAAUACCCAAGGCAGACUAUGACAAGGGUCAGGUGACACACGUUAAUAUCCACUUGCUGGCAACAUGUGCCUGCACUGACUCCAGGAACCGUCUGUUGAAUGAACGCUAAAUCCCAGAGCUUCCCAGUGUGCCUCAGCGUGAGCAAGAGGAAAAACGUGAGAAAGACUCAUUGAACAAACACUAAGUGUCAUUUCUACAUGCUGGACACAAAACCAGGCCCUCAGGAUACAACUGUGAGCAAGAUAUAAUCCCUGACCUCGAGAUACAUACGGCUUCAAAAAAAAAAAA